rnacentral:rRNA from 1 species
CGUUUACCGUGAAAAAAUUAGAGUGUUCAAAGCAGGCAGAUCCAAUUUUCUGCCACCGAAUACAUUAGCAUGGGAUAAUGGAAUAGGACCCUGUCCUCCUAUUUUCAGUUGGUUUUGGCAGCGCGAGGACUAGGGUAAUGAUUAAUAGGGAUAGUUGGGGGCAUUAAUAUUUAAUUGUCAGAGGUGAAAUUCUUGGAUUUAUGAAAGAUUAACUUCUGCGAAAGCAUCUGCCAAGGAUGUUUUCAUUAAUCAAGAACGAAAGUUAGGGGAUCGAAGACGAUCAGAUACCGUCGUAGUCUUAACCAUAAACGAUGCCGACCAGCGAUUAGGAGACGUUGAAUACAAAACACCACCAUCGGCGCGGUCGUCCUUGGCGUCGGUCCUU